CCUACGGGUGGCAGCAGUGAGGAAUAUUGGUCAAUGGCCGAGAGGCUGAACCAGCCAAGUCGCGUGAGGGAAGACGGCCCUACGGGUUGUAAACCUCUUUUAUCCGGGAGCAAAGCGCACCACGUGUGGUUCAUUGAGCGUACCCGAAGAAAAAGCAUCGGCUAACUCCGUGCCCGCGGCCGCGGUACUACGGAGGAUGCGAGCGUUAUCCGGAUUUCUUGGGUUUAAAGGGUGCGCAGGCGGCGGUGCAAGUCAGCGGUCAAAGUGCGGGGCUCAACCCCGUACUGCCGUUGAAACUGCAUCCCUUGAGUGCGAGAGAAGUAUGCGGAAUGGGUGGUGUAGCGGUGAAAUGCAUAGAUAUCACGCAGAACUCCGAUUGCGAAGGCAGCAUACCGGCGCGCAACUGACGCUCAUGCACGAAAGCGUGGGUAUCGAACAGGAUUAGAUACCCGAGUAGU
rnacentral:rRNA from 1 species